CCAAAGACUAGAAAUUAGAGCACAAGUUGCAGAUGCCUUUUUAUCCAAGUUCCAGUUGACUUCUGAUGAAAUGACUCUCCUCCGAGGACUUUUUCAAGGCUUUGGGAAGAGUGAAACAAAUUCAUAAUGACGUCAAAGUUCUUUUGAGAACCAACCAGCAGACGGCAGGUUUGGAGAUUAUGGAACAGAUGGCCUUGCUUCAAGAAACUGCUUAUGAAAGACUUUACCGGUGGGCUCAAAGUAUACCUUAGAUGAAUUUGGAACGGCCAGGCGAAGCACUGUGGUUCGUGGGUUUAUUGAUGCUCUUACAAGAGGAGGGCCAGGAGGUACACCUAGACCCAUUGAAAUGCACUCCCAUGACCCGCUGAGGUAUGUGGGAGACAUGCUGGCCUGGCUCCAUCAAGCUACUGCCUCUGAGAAGGAACAUCUGGAAGCUCUCUUAAAGCAUGUAACUGCACAGGGUGUUAAAGAAAAUAUUCAAGAAGUUGUUGGGCAUAUCACCGAGGGUGUGUGUCGGCCUCUAAAGGUUCGAAUUGAACAAGUAAUACUUGCUGAACCUGGGGCAGUGUUAUUAUAUAAAAUUUCUAACCUCCUCAAGUUUUACCACCAUACCAUCAGUGGCAUUGUUGGAAAUAGUGCAGCUACUCUACUGACAACAAUUGAAGAAAUGCACUUGCUAAGCAAAAAAAUAUUCUUCAGUAGCUUGAGUC
rnacentral:lncRNA from 1 species